rnacentral:rRNA from 1 species
UAGCCGUAAACGAUACUCGCUAGGUGUCGGCCACGGUGCGACCGUUGUCGGUGCCGUAGGGAAGCCGUGAAGCGAGCCACCUGGGAAGUACGGCCGCAAGGCUGAAACUUAAAGGAAUUGGCGGGGGAGCACAACAACGGGUGGAGCUUGCGGUUUAAUUGGAUUCAACGCCGGAAAUCUUACCGGGACCGACAGCAACAUGAAGGCCAAGCUGAAGACUUUGCCGGAUUAGCUGAGAGGAGGUGCAUGGCGUAGUCGU